GUCCUUCAUUGGAGCUAUUUGAAGAUUUUUGAAAAGCUACAAAGCAUGACCAGACAACUCAUUCUCAAUUCUGAGUGAGUCAUAGACUCUUGCACGUGACGGCUCGUUCUUUGAUCUGUACGGGUAAGAGUGGCACGAGUCGCCGACUCAACAUUUUUACCAUUUUGGGGAUGAGAUCGAGUGGGGAGCUGGGAACAUAACUUCACGAGAUGGAUUUCACUUCUCCCCGACUUUGGGGAAGUAAAUGAGCGUUCUCUUAAAUGCUGACUCCGGGACUUGAAAAAUGGGCCCCACCCUCUAACUUGUCUUAGAGGGACUUCUAGUUAUUCAUCGGACCGUAAUCGGGUUGUUCAUUAGAGGAGUAGUGGUAUUUAAGGUGUAAGAUGUAACUAUGUGGUAAAAUGAUGAUUUGACACAUCUCAAGUUACAAGCACACGUGAAAGAUUGACUUGCCGUUAAUGGUCGUCUAUCCGUGGACACGAAAAACAUUCUGCAGUGAGAAGAAUUUAGCUGCGGGUCUUUAGUGGAGUGACCCGCAGUUCAUGAAUGUUGAUUAACUCAGUUAAUGAGUUUGACAGAUUAAUCUCGUAUUGUUGGAGCUUCUGAUCUGUAUGUUUAUUAAGUCCCCUUGCUAGUUUACAACGAGCAAAACGAGGCUCGAGUUUCUUGGAA